GUUGAGAAAUGCAAUCCAAUGGUUUAGUGAAGACAAUCAACAAAGUGUUAGUUACUUGCUUUGCAAGUUAGUUAUUAGUUUGAUUGUUGUAACUACUUUAGUUUGUUAGAUAGUUAGUAACUAACUUGAGUUAGUUACUUAAUCAUGGUUGCUUGUUAACCAAACUAUCACACUACAAUUUGUAACUCUAUAAAUUGUAUUCCUAAGAUCAAUAAUAAAUCAAUCCUCAUUGAUGAAAC
rnacentral:lncRNA from 1 species